UACGUAGGGUGCAAGCGUUAAUCGGAAUUACUGGGCGUAAAGCGUGCGCAGGCGGCUUUGCAAGACAGAUGUGAAAUCCCCGGGCUCAACCUGGGAACUGCAUUUGUGACUGCAAGGCUAGAGUGCGGCAGAGGGGGAUGGAAUUCCGCGUGUAGCAGUGAAAUGCGUAGAUAUGCGGAGGAACACCGAUGGCGAAGGCAAUCCCCUGGGCCUGCACUGACACUCAUGCACGAAAGCGUGGGGAGCAAACAGG
rnacentral:rRNA from 1 species